UCCCUGCUGGCUCAGAUGGUAAAGAAUCUGCCUACAAUGCAGGAGACCCAGGUUCAAUCCCUGGGUUGAGAA
rnacentral:tRNA from 1 species